UGAGACGCGGUGAUGGUGGGUGGUCCCCCGCCCUUGCUGCCGUGCUGUCAGAAUCUGCUGCCAUGGCCGCCGGAGCUCCGGGCUGAGCUUCUGCCACUUGAGACCCUGCUGCCACCGUGUUCCACCGCCGUUACCGUCACCGGUGUUUUUGCUCGCGUUUGUCACUUGGGGUUACUGACGAAGCCACUGCCGGGUUGAUAAGGAGCUGCGGCUGCUUCAUUUUGUUAUUUCAGAGUUAGAAUCUGGUUUGCUUAUGCCGCUUGUAGCUGUUUCUGCUUUCGAGAGAGAGCAAGCCGAGUCGGCUUCUAAUUGCCGGUGAUUUCAGGCAGAGCGAAAAGAGUUCAGUUGACACGUUUGGGUUAUGAUUUUGGCGUUUUGAGGAUUUGGGCGCAGAAGUUAUGAAGAGUUUAAUUAUUUGUUAUUGAGAUGCUCUGUAUUGCUUAUAUUAUUAUUUUUGUACCCUCACCUUUAUCUUGAUAUAUUCUGUGAGAGGGAUAGGAAUUGUACUGGAUAAUGUUUGUAAUAUUAUUUAUAUAUAUGUAUGUAUAUA